UGAAAAACAAUUAAGCUCACUUAUAAUUUUCAAACUGAAAACUGAGUAUAAUAGAGAUAUGAAUUCUUUGAGGAUAAAUACGUGAUAUAGAGAAGAUCAAAGCGAAGGCAAUAUCUGGUAUAUACUGACACUGAGAAACGAAAGCUUGGGUAGCGAACGGGAUUAGAGACCCCGGUAGUCCAUGCUGUAAACGAUGAGUGCUCAUAUUUAGAAUUUUUAGAUAUCAAGCUAACGCGUUAAGCACUCCGCGUGAAAAGUAUAAUCGCAAGAUUGAAAUUCAAAGGAAUUGACGGGAGUCUACACAAGCGGUGGAGCAUGUGGUUUAAUUCGAUAAUACGCGCAGAACCUUACCAACUCUUGCAAAUUAGAUUAAAAAAUUAAAUUUAAUCUAAACAGGCGUUGCAUGGCUGUCGUCAGCUCGUGUUGUGAAAUGUUUGGUUAAAUCCUUUAACGAGCGCAACCCCUAUUAUUAGUUGCUAAUUUAUUUAAAUAAAUAAAAGCACUCUAAUAAAAAUGUCAAUGAUAGGUUGAAGGAAGGUAGGGAUGACGUCAAGUCUUCAUGGCCCUUAUGAGUUGGGCUACACACGUGCUACAAUGAUAAUUACAAUGAGAGGCAAUAAUGAUUAAAAAUUGGAGCAAAUCUUUAAAGAUUAUCUUAGUUCGGAUUAUGGGCUGAAACUCGCCCAUAUGAAGCUGGAAUCGCUAGUAAUCGCAGAACAGCAUGCUGCGGUGAAUAUGUUACUAGACUUUGUACACACCGCCCGUCACAUCAAGGAAGUUAAAUAUUUUUAAAAUGAUUUUUAGUUAUUUUAUUUUAAUAAAUAAUUAUUUAAUUUUAAUAAUUUAUAUUUAAGAUUUUAUAAUAUAUAAGUUCCUAAAAAGUAUUUAGUAACUUUGAUGAAGUCGUAACAAGGUAGUCGUAGGGGAACCUGUGGCUGGAAGAGCUCUUUA
rnacentral:ncRNA from 1 species